rnacentral:rRNA from 1 species
UACGUAGGGUGCGAGCGUUGUCCGGAAUUAUUGGGCGUAAAGAGCUCGUAGGCGGUCUGUCGCGUCGGUCGUGAAAACCUGCAGCUUAACUGUGGGCGUGCGGUCGAUACGGGCAUGACUGGAGUUCGGCAGGGGAGACUGGAAUUCCUGGUGUAGCGGUGAAAUGCGCAGAUAUCUGGAGGAACACCGGUGGCGAAGGCGGCAUCCUGGACCGGCAUUGACGCUGAGGCGCGAAAGCCAGGGGAGCAAACGGG